UGUGUGCGUAUGUGUGUGUGUAUAUAUGUAUAUAUAUAUAUAUAUAUGCACACACACAUACGCACACAUA
rnacentral:miRNA from 1 species